rnacentral:rRNA from 1 species
ACAAGGCUGACAGCACUUGGGAGAUGAGGGGGGACUUUUAACUAAGCCCCCUCCACUGACUACGUCUAAUAAAGUUCUGGAUAUAAUACUGAAAUAUGACAAUUUUAUAUCAGGGAGUCUUGACCAAAUUACGUGCCAGCAGUCGCGGUAACACGUAGAAGACCAGUGUUAGUCAUCUUUAAUAGGUUUAAAGGGUACCUAGACGGCAUUAUUAACCCGCAACGGAAAUAGUUUUGCUUGAGUUUUAUACGAGAAGGGGAGUAUUUAGGGAGUAGAGAUGAAAUUCUUUGAUACCUUAAGGACUGGUUAGGGCGAAAGCGACCUUUUAUGUAAUAACUGACGUUGAGGGACGGAGGCUUAGAUAGCGAACAGGAUUAGAUACCCUAGUAGUCUUUGCAGAGAAUGAUGAAUGCCAUAGAUUAGAUUUUUUUGGUUUAUAAAUGAAAGUGUAAGCAUUCCACCUCAUGAGUAAUGUGGCAACGCAGGAACUGAAAUCAUUAGACCGUUUCUGAGAACAGUAGUGAAGUAUGUUAUUUAAUUCGAUGAUCCGCGAAAAACCUUACCACAACUUGAAUAUUGCAUAUCUAUCCUUUCUAGAGAAGUAUGAUUAAACCUUCUCUAGGAACUAUCGUCGUAAUAGUGUGGUUUGUACUGGAAAGUUUAAAGUUCCUACAAAUCAACGUGCUAGGAAAUCUAAGAAGGAUUAUGGUAGAUUUCAUAAGUGUUUUAUUGCAUUUUUAACGAUGUAGUAAUACACUUAUUCACGGUGUUAAUACAAGUGUUGCACGGUUGUCUUCAGCUAAUGUCGUGAGACUGUGGUUAGCUCCAUUAAAUUAGCGGAAACCCCGGCUUUAUUUUUUAAUUUUUUUAUCAUAAAGCAGUUCAUCAUUAUAUCGAAUAAUCGUGAUAACAGGACCAAGACAAAUCAUCUGCGU